rnacentral:tRNA from 1 species
GGCGACGUAGCCAAGUGGUAAGGCAGGGGUCUGCAAAAUCCCUAUACCCCGGUUCGAAUCCGGGCGUCGCCUCCA